GAUGAACGCUGGCGGCGUGCCUAAUACAUGCAAGUCGAGCGAACGGACGAGAAGCUUGCUUCUCUAAUGUUAGCGGCGGACGGGUGAGUAACACGUGGAUAACCUACCUAUAAGACUGGGAUAACUUCGGGAAACCGUAGCUAAUACCGGAUAAUAUUUUGAACCGCAUGGUUCAAAAGUGAAAGACGGUCUUGCUGUCACUUAUAGAUGGAUCCGCGCUGCAUUAGCUAGUUGGUAAGGUAACGGCUUACCAAGGCAACGAUGCAUAGCCGACCUGAGAGGGGGAUCGGCCCCCCGGGAACUGAGACACGGUCCAGACCCCUACGGGAGGCAGGAGGAGGGAAUCUUCCGCAAUGGGGGAAAGCCUGACGGGGCAACGCCGGGGGGGUGAAGAAGGUCUUCGGUUCGUAAAACUUUUUUAUUGGGGAAAAAAAUUUGUGUAAGUAACUGUGCAACUCUUGACGGUACCAAAGCAGAAAGCCACGGCUAACCACGU
rnacentral:rRNA from 1 species